GAUAGUACCAUUUUCACUGCUGCCUUACCGCUAACGUCUCUGCUCAACUCAGAUUCCCCUGUCAUAUCUGCUUUCAUCUCUGCACAACUCAGAUUCCUGUCUCUCGUCUUCUACUUCGACGCAGCCUCCAACAUCCCCAGCGACAAGAGGACGCUAUUUUAAAUUGGGGAAGUUCAUUUCCUUGGGCAAGUUCAUUUCCUUGGGCAAGUUCAUUGACCUGGUGGUGAACACGGAGAAGACGAUUUUCUCUGCUGCUGAAAUUUUGCAAUGGCUUUUCUGUUUAACAAAUUUCAAGAGGCAGUGAAAGUUCUUGCAAAAAGUCCUACAUUUGCCAGAGAUCCAAGGCUUUGAAGCAGACAUAAAUCGCCUUUUCCUAUAUACCUGGUAACUGUCUAUUUGUUAUUGAAAUGAUCACUGGUUAUAAUUUGCCAUUUUUUUAAUGUAGAAUCUAUGUAGACAAUGGGAACUUCACUCAUAUUAUCGUUUA